AUGAACGCUGGCGGCGUGCCUAAUACAUGCAAGUCGAGCGAACAGACGAGGAGCUUGCUCCUCUGACGUUAGCGGCGGACGGGUGAGUAACACGUGGAUAACCUACCUAUAAGACUGGGAUAACUUCGGGAAACCGGAGCUAAUACCGGAUAAUAUAUUGAACCGCAUGGUUCAAUAGUGAAAGACGGUUUUGCUGUCACUUAUAGAUGGAUCCGCGCCGCAUUAGCUAGUUGGUAAGGUAACGGCUUACCAAGGCGACGAUGCGUAGCCGACCUGAGAGGGUGAUCGGCCACACUGGAACUGAGACACGGUCCAGACUCCUACGGGAGGCAGCAGUAGGGAAUCAUCCGCAAUGGGCGAAAGCCUGACGGAGCAAAGCCGCGUGAGUGAUGAAGGUCUUCGGAUCGUAAAACUCUGUUAUUAGGGAAGAACAAAUGUGUAAGUAACUAUGCACGUCUUGACGGUACCUAAUCAGAAAGCCACGGCUAACUACGUG
rnacentral:rRNA from 1 species